GGGGGGACACUGGAGAGAAGACUUUCGCGUGUUCCGGGAAAUUUUUUNUCGGACCNCUUUUUAUUAAACACCGGGCAACCCACCUGGAUGGUCUCCUCCGAAAGAGGAAUUCAAGUUUCAAUGCGAUCAACACCACCCGUGCAAGGUCAAGCAAUGGUAUUCACCCGGAUCCUUGAACCCCGCCUUUCCGGUUCGGGUGGCCGGGUUCAAAAGGGAAUGAAACGUACGACUUUUCAGGCAACGGGGAUCUUCUUGGGGCUCUCGGCAAUCGAUGAAGAACGCAGCGAAUUGCGAUAAGUAGAUGUGAAUUGCAGAUUUUCAGCUGAAUCAUCGAAUCUUUGAACGCACCUUGCGCUCCUUGGUAUUCCGAGGAGCAUGCCUGUUUGAGUGUCAUGUAAUUCUCAACCACGUCUCGAUUGAUUUCGAGGCAUGGCUUGGACUUGGGGGCUGCCGGUGGCGAAAGCUGUCAGCUCUCCUGAAAUGCAUUAGCAACGGACAGCAAUGUCUGACGUGCACGGCCUUGACGUGAUAAUGAUCGUCGUCGCUGGAGCGUCGGACGUGCACACGAGUCCGUUUGCUUCGAAUCCUAUGGACUUGAGACUUGGACAUUUCGAGAGAAGCGUCAGCUACUAGUCGGUCAUGAGGCCGGCGAACGUGGGCUUGCUCGGAGGUCAGAGUUCCCCCUUCGGUCUUUUUUCAUGACUUGACCUCAAAUCAGGUAGGACUACCCGCUGAACUUAAGCAUAUCAAUAAGCGGAGGAAAAGAAACUAACAGGAUUCCCACUAGUAACUGCGAGUGAACGCGGGAAGAGCUCCACCAUCUUCUGAAUCUGGCGUCGUUUCGCCGUACCCGAACCUGUGAUUCAUGGAGAAGGAAGUACACC
rnacentral:rRNA from 1 species